AGGAAUAUUGGUCAAUGGGCGCAAGCCUGAACCAGCCAAGUAGCGUGAGGGAAGACUGCCCUAUGGGUUGUAAACCUCUUUUGUGCGGGGAUAAAGUGUGGGACGUGUCCCAUAUUGCAGGUACCGCACGAAUAAGGACCGGCUAAUUCCGUGCCAGCAGCCGCGGUAAUACGGAAGGUCCGGGCGUUAUCCGGAUUUAUUGGGUUUAAAGGGAGCGCAGGCCGUCCUUUAAGCGUGCUGUGAAAUGCCGCGGCUCAACCGUGGCACUGCAGCGCGAACUGGAGGACUUGAGUACGCACGAGGUAGGCGGAAUUCGUGGUGUAGCGGUGAAAUGCUUAGAUAUCACGAAGAACUCCGAUUGCGAAGGCAGCUUACCGGAGCGCAACUGACGCUGAGGCUCGAAAGCGCGGGUAUCGAACAGGAUUAGAUACCCUGGUAGUCCGCGCGGUAAACGAUGGAUGCCCGCCGUUGGGUUUUAGAAUUCAGCGGCCAAGCGAAAGCGUUAAGCAUCCCACCUGGGGAGUACGCCGGCAACGGUGAAACUCAAAGGAAUUGACGGGGGCCCGCACAAGCGGAGGAACAUGUGGUUUAAUUCGAUGAUACGCGAGGAACCUUACCCGGGCUUGAAUUGCAGGAGAACGAUCCAGAGAUGGUGAGGCCCUUCGGGGCUCCUGUGAAGGUGCUGCAUGGUUGUCGUCAGCUCGUGCCGUGAGGUGUCGGCUCAAGUGCCAUAACGAGCGCAACCCCUGUCCAUAGUUGCCAUCAGGUCGUGCUGAGGACUCUGUCGGGACUGCCGCCGUAAGGUGUGAGGAAGGUGGGGAUGACGUCAAAUCAGCACGGCCCUUACGUCCGGGGCUACACACGUGUUACAAUGGGGCAUACAGCGAGUUGGAUGUGCGCAAGUACGUCCGGAUCAAUAAAGUGCCUCUCAGUUCGGACUGGGGUCUGCAACCCGACCCCACGAAGCUGGAUUCGCUAGUAAUCGCGCAUCAGCCAUGGCGCGGUGAAUACGUUCCCG
rnacentral:rRNA from 1 species